rnacentral:rRNA from 1 species
UACGAAGGGGGCUAGCGUUGCUCGGAAUCACUGGGCGUAAAGGGCACGUAGGCGGACUCUUAAGUCAGGGGUGAAAUCCUGGAGCUCAACUCCAGAACUGCCUUUGAUACUGGGAGUCUUGAGUUCGGGAGAGGUGAGUGGAACUGCGAGUGUAGAGGUGAAAUUCGUAGAUAUUCGCAAGAACACCAGUGGCGAAGGCGGCGCACUGGCCCGAUACUGACGCUGAGGCACGAAAGCGUGGGGAGCAAACAGG